AGCGGAAUUCGUGAGACCCUUCAGGCCACACUAGCUUCAAGUGCAGUAACUAAGGACUUGAUAGUGGGCAAACUGAUUUCAUCAAGAGUUCCCCCAGGUUUUACGUUUAUGGAUAGAUUCAAGGGCUUAUGACUUGAUGCCUGCAGCAUCAUUUGUUUACUGAUAUGGCUGGCAAAUUUCUUGGUUCACAGUGUGCUCUAUUCUCUACAACCUCAGAAAGAUACU
rnacentral:sRNA from 1 species